rnacentral:rRNA from 1 species
GUGAAACCGGUGAGGUGGAAACGGAUAGAGUCGGCGUAUCUUGCAAGUAUUCAUUUACAUUUUURUCGUAUUGUAAUCUCUGAGCUCCAGAUUGGGACAGUUUUUACUUUAUUAUAAAAUUGWGAUGCAUUUGCUUGUUUGGUGCGUAGGGAUGUUUGAGAUAGAUUUGUGACCGCYGUUUUGAGGCCAGCUUGCUGGUACCCAAACNGUGUUAGCAUUUUUUAUCUUGGAUAUUUGAGUAUGGCUUACGGGCGUUWWUUGGUUCGAUCUGAGUGUAAGUUACGGUCGCAUGCGACACGUGCUUUUCAAUUAGUUCGGUCCAGUUAAUGCUCUCAUACUCUUUCCCUAUGUAAAAGCCGGUCAUCUAUCCGACCCGUCUUGAAACACGGACCAAGGAGUUUAUCGUGUGCGCAAGUUUUUGGGUGUUUAAAACCUAAAAGCGCAAUGAAAGUAAAUGUUCUCUUUCGAGACUGAUGUGCGAUAUUUUUUUU